GCCAGGUGUGGUAGCACAUGCUAAUAAUCAUAGCAUACUGGGAAGGCUUAGCCUGGCAGAUCUCUGGAGCUUAGCAUUUUUAGUUAUAACGAGCUAUGCCAAUUGGGUGUCCACAGUAGGUUCAGUGUGGUGAGCCUCCAAGAGCAGAGGGGAUACCAAGUUGCCUAAGGAGGGGCAAACCAUUUUAAGUUGAAAAUGGAGCAGGUCAAAGCUUCCAUGCCAAUCAGUAAUGGGAGUAGAUCCAUGAAUAGCCCUGGUACUUCCAUCCUAGGUGAAAUAGGGAGACCCAGGCUUU
rnacentral:SRP_RNA from 1 species